rnacentral:ncRNA from 1 species
AUGUAUACCUUGGUACACUGCGUAAUCCGUAACACUCACAACUCCAGAUGGACGCUUUUGCAGAGCUCGUGCGCGAAUCGCGCUUUUGCGCGAUAAAUCGAUUGAGUUUCUGCCCUAUCAGCUUUGGAUGGUAGGAUAUGGGUCUACUAUGGCAUUAACGGGUAACGGGGAAUUAGGGUUUGAUUCCGGAGAAGGAGCCUCAGAAACGGCUACCACAAAGCUUAAAACA